GAUGAACGCUGGCUGCGUGCCUAAUACAUGCAAGUCGAGCGAACGGACGAGAAGCUUGCUUCUCUGAUGUUAGCGGCGGACGGGUGAGUAACACGUGGAUAACCUACCUAUAAGACUGGGAUAACUUCGGGAAACCGGAGCUAAUACCGGAUAAUAUUUUGAACCGCAUGGUUCAAAAGUGAAAGACGGUCUUGCUGUCACUUAUAGAUGGAUCCGCGCUGCAUUAGCUAGUUGGUAAGGUAACGGCUUACCAAGGCAACGAUGCAUAGCCGACCUGAGAGGGUGAUCGGCCACACUGGAACUGAGACACGGUCCAGACUCCUACGGGAGGCAGCAGUAGGGAAUCUUCCGCAAUGGGCGAGAGCCUGACGGAGCAACGCCGCGUGAGUGAUGAAGGUCUUCGGAUCGUAAAACUCUGUUAUUAGGGAAGAACAAAUGUGUAAGUAACUAUGCACGUCUUGACGGUACCUAAUCAGAAAGCCACGGCUAACUACGUGCCAGCAGCCGCGGUAAUACGUAGGUGGCAAGCGUUAUCCGGAAUUAUUGGGCGUAAAGCGCGCGUAGGCGGUUUUUUAAGUCUGAUGUGAAAGCCCACGGCUCAACCGUGGAGGGUCAUUGGAAACUGGAAAACUUGAGUGCAGAAGAGGAAAGUGGAAUUCCAUGUGUAGCGGUGAAAUGCGCAGAGAUAUGGAGGAACACCAGUGGCGAAGGCGACUUUCUGGUCUGUAACUGACGCUGAUGUGCGAAAGCGUGGGGAUCAAACAGGAUUAGAUACCCUGGUAGUCCACGCCGUAAACGAUGAGUGCUAAGUGUUAGGGGGUUUCCGCCCCUUAGUGCUGCAGCUAACGCAUUAAGCACUCCGCCUGGGGAGUACGACCGCAAGGUUGAAACUCAAAGGAAUUGACGGGGACCCGCACAAGCGGUGGAGCAUGUGGUUUAAUUCGAAGCAACGCGAGGAACCUUACCAAAUCUUGACAUCCUCUGACCCCUCUAGAGAUAGAGUUUUCCCCUUCGGGGGACAGAGUGACAGGUGGUGCAUGGUUGUCGUCAGCUCGUGUCGUGAGAUGUUGGGUUAAGUCCCGCAACGAGCGCAACCCUUAAGCUUAGUUGCCAUCAUUAAGUUGGGCACUCUAAGUUGACUGCCGGUGACAAACCGGAGGAAGGUGGGGAUGACGUCAAAUCAUCAUGCCCCUUGUGAUUUGGGCUACACACGUGCUACAAUGGACAAUACAAAGGGCAGCGAAACCGCGAGGUCAAGCAAAUCCCAUAAAGUUGUUCUCAGUUCGGAUUGUAGUCUGCAACUCGACUAUAUGAAGCUGGAAUCGCUAGUGAUCGUAGAUCAGCAUGCUACGGUGAAUACGUUCCCGGGUCU
rnacentral:rRNA from 1 species